rnacentral:rRNA from 1 species
CCCUUAGAUGUUCUGGGCUGCACGCGCGCUACACUGAUACUUUCAGCGAGUCCACCACCUUGCCUGGGAAGGUGGGGUAACCUCUGGAAAGUGCAUCGUGAUGGGGAUCGAUUAUUGUAAUUAUUAAUCUUCAACGAGGAAUUCCUAGUAAGCAUAAGUCAUCAGCUUGUGCUGAUUACGUCCCUGCCCUUUGUACACACCGCCCGUCGCUCCUACCGAUUUUGAGUGAUCCGGUGAACCUUUUGGACUGCGGUGUCUUCAUGGCACUCGUGGGAAGUUAAGUAAACCUUAUCACUUAGAGGAAGGAGAAGUCGUAACA